UUACACAAUAUUACGGGGGGCCGGACCCCAAAACUGCUUGCAGCUUUUGGACCCGCCCUGUCUGAUAUUCUACCCAUGUCUUUUGCGUACUUUUCGUUUCCUUGGUGGGCUUGCCUGCCAAUAGGACAACCAAAUUAAACCUUUUUGUAAUUGCAAUCAGCGUCUGAAAAAACUUUAAUAGUUACAACUUUCAACAACGGAUCUCUUGGUUCUGGCAUCGAUGAAGAACGCAGCGAAAUGCGAUAAGUAGUGUGAAUUGCAGAAUUCAGUGAAUCAUCGAAUCUUUGAACGCACAUUGCGCCCCUUGGUAUUCCAUGGGGCAUGCCUGUUCGAGCGUCAUUUGUACCCUCAAGCUCUGCUUGGUGUUGGGUGUUUGUCCCGCCUUUGUGUGUGGACUCGCCUUAAAAUAAUUGGCAGCCGGCAUAUUGGCCUUGGAGCGCAGCACAUUUUGCGCUUCUAGUCAAUGAUUGUUGGCGUCCAGCAAGUACAAAUCUUAACUUUUGACCUCGGAUCAGGUAGGGAUACCCGCUGAACUUAAGCAUAUCAAUAAGCGGAGGAAAAGAAACCAACAGGGAUUGCCCUAGUAACGGCGAGUGAAGCGGCAACAGCUCAAAUUUGAAAUCUGGCUCUUUCAGAGUCCGAGUUGUAAUUUGCAGAGGGCGCUUUGGCGUUGGCAGCGGUCCAAGUUCCUUGGAACAGGACGUCACAGAGGGUGAGAAUCCCGUACGUGGUCGCUGGCCUUCGCCGUGUAAAGCCCCUUCGACGAGUCGAGUUGUUUGGGAAUGCAGCUCUAAAUGGGAGGUAAAUUUCUUCUAAAGCUAAAUACUGGCCAGAGACCGAUAGCGCACAAGUAGAGUGAUCGAAAGAUGAAAAGCACUUUGGAAAGAGAGUCAAAUAGCACGUGAAAUUGUUGAAAGGGAAGCGCUUGCAGCCAGACUUGCCUGUAGUUGCUCAUCCGGGCUUUUGCCCGGUGCACUCUUCUGUAGGCAGGCCAGCAUCAGUUUGGACGGUUGGAUAAAGGACUCUGUCACGUACCUCCUCUCGGGGAGGCCUUAUAGGGGAGUCGUCAUGCAACCAGUCU
rnacentral:rRNA from 1 species